rnacentral:rRNA from 1 species
UACGGAGGGUGCAAGCGUUAUCCGGAUUCACUGGGUUUAAAGGGUGCGUAGGUGGGCAGGUAAGUCAGUGGUGAAAUCUCUGGGCUUAACCCGGAAACUGCCGUUGAUACUAUUUGUCUUGAAUAUAGUGGAGGUGAGCGGAAUAUGUCAUGUAGCGGUGAAAUGCUUAGAUAUGACAUAGAACAUCGAUUGCGAAGGCAGCUCGCUACACUAUUAUUGACACUGAGGCACGAAAGCGUGGGGAUCAAACAGG